rnacentral:rRNA from 1 species
UACGUAGGGGGCAAGCGUUGUCCGGAUUUAUUGGGCGUAAAGAGCGUGUAGGCGGUUAGGUAGGUCCGUUGUGAAAACUCGAGGCUCAACCUCGAGACGUCGGCGGAAACCAUCUGGCUAGAGUCCGGAAGAGGAGAGUGGAAUUCCUGGUGUAGCGGUGAAAUGCGCAGAUAUCAGGAGGAACACCCGUAGCGAAGGCGGCACUCUGGGCCGAUACUGACACUGAGGAGCGAAAGCGUGGGGAGCGAACAGG